ACAAGAGACUUAAGCCAUGUUGAGUGCCCCUGCGGAAACGCCGGGAGUAGAACUGCUCAAAUUCGGGGAAAGCUAAAGGUCAAAUUUGACCCAUGCCAAUCCCGAGCCAAGCCCCGGCCGGGGAAGGUGUAGAGACUAGACGGGCAGCACCUAACGCCAGGUUUCUGGUUAUGGUGAAGGGAUAGUCCAGACCACAAACGGCGCG
rnacentral:ncRNA from 1 species